CAUAUUAAUGAUGUCUUUCUGAAUACGCUAUUGCCAAUUUAUUUGCUCCCACUACUACUGUUUGCUUACAAUUUGACCAUUAAAGUGAAUGCGAGCUCCAUAGUGCAUGACGGCUAUGUGCCACCCACACCCAUACAUGCACAUACACAACAUAAAGUGGUAAGCAUAGAGAAAAGCAGAUUAAGCAUACGACGUGUUGUGCAGCUAUCAUCAAGCGAAGGCAACCGAAGCGGCAACUGCCACAUCGAACAAGACCAAGACUGGAUCUGAGACGAGUCGUAAUCCACAAGCAUUGCAGCGUCAUUUUCCCAACUCAGGC